AACACCAUCCUGUAAUGCUUCUGUGCUCAUAACUAAAAGGGAAAUCUGGAUGCAGCAGAAAACUGAGCAGUGAAUGAAGGCAAGGCAGUGAGUUUCACUUAGUUGUAAGUAACACACCUGCCUUCUUUGAAAGAGCCCAGAAUGGCUUCAGGUUGCUUUCUAGCUCAAGUUACAGCUCAUUCCUAGACUCCCCAUCCUUCUGUUUGCUGUCAUAAAAGCCAUAAAAGCUAACAUCUAUUCUGUUUUGCACCUAGCCAAAACGUUAGCCAUUUUUCCUUUUCUGA
rnacentral:lncRNA from 1 species